UUUAUGUUAAAAUGUUCAUUGUCUCAUUGCUCAUAAUAUGAGUCGGUAUAUAUAUAUAUAUAUAUAUAUAUAUAUAUAUAUAUAUCUACUACAGAUAUUAAGGUGACCAUAUAUAUAUUAAUCUAGGCAUUAUGGGGACCGCUGGAUUAAGGCGACAAAAAUUGGUCUCCUUAAUAUUUUCAGUCCAGAUUUGAUGUAUCAAAUGUCAAUAAAAAUGUCCAUUGAUAGUAAGUUGAUAAGCUUGAAUGUUUAUUUACGAGAUCAUUUCAUUGUUUUAAAUCUUAUAAUCUUUUAUUAUCAAAAAAAAUAUCCUUAAACUUUUGUGCGUGUAUAUUUGUGUAUCCAUAAAAAUAGCUAUUAAGGCGACCAGGGAAAAAAAUCAUAAUUUUGGUCAAAAAUAGCUAUAUACUAAGCAUUUUUUAUUUGUUUUACUUUAUUUAAAGCCUAUUGUAUAUUAUCCCGAAGUUUCAUUCCAUAAAAAACAGAAAUAAGGAAAUUCGAUAUUUCGUGUACCAUCAGCAUCCAAAUUUUCAAGUAUACAGAAAUUUAACUUUCCGGAAUAUAACGGAAAUUUUCGGGUAUCUCCGUGGUACCAUCUCCGUGCAAUUAUGCAGUAUGGCGUUCAUCUCUUACGGAAAGAGAAUGGUAACUUGGUAAGUGUUUAAAAUACAUAUUCAACGUUUUUUUUUCGUUUAUUUUUAUGACUUUUGUACAGUAGUAUAAAUCGUCCACCCUUUGGAUGAAAAGCAAAUGAUUUAUCCGGAUUUUGUUCAUCCGAAACUAAAUCACUAGUAUCAACAUCCGGUGUAAUUUUUGCUUGUAUUUUGGAGAAACUCGAUUGAUUUCUAGCAAACUUGGUUUACCACUACAUCGUCGCUUAUUAUUAUUUGGUAUGUUCCAAUCUAAAAAGGGAUUUGCUCCCUUAACAUCUCAGAUUUUAAUAAAUAAAAGACGAAAUGAUACAAAUGCCUUACAUUUUGUUUGUCAAUGUCAUGUCAUUUGUCAUUCUCAUCACCUUUGCAUAGCAGAACAGAACGAACACUAUCACCAAUUCGUAUUGUGGCUUUUUGCAUGUGUCUUAAAUUUUCAUAUUUGAUAAUAAAUGCAACAAUAAAAUAUUUCCCUUAUUCUGCCACAGUUAUGCACCAGUCAAUUGUAACCAUGGCCCCCAGGCAGGUCUUGUUUAUACCAGGGAUAGCAGGGGAAAUGGGCCAUGUUUUUACGUUCCAGGUGGACCGGCAGUGCUGAGUGAAUGCAGUGUUAUUGUUUUUGCGCUGAAAACAGGGAAUGGGCCUAACCUAGGAUGCCCCCAGGGGCAUUUGACGGGGAUCUGGUCAUUUCGUAACCUUACCAUUUCGUAACUGCUGAAUCUUGGUUAUUUUGUAACCAUUUUGUUAGUCAAUUCGUAACCAUCAAUAAAUCAAUUGCUCAUAUGGUAACCACCAUUUAACAAGGUGAUAAAUAGUACACUUAGCACCUCGUUAAGUGUAUUGUUCGAACCUGGAUGUAUAUGGCACAGCAACCAAGACACCAAUUGGGAGACAUUACUCAAAUUCUCACUAGUAACAAGCCAAUAAUUUAUGUUACUCAAUAGUUAUUAGAUAUAUAUCAUGGUAAAUUAGAAAUGAUUUGUUAUACUACCAAAAUAUGUUAAUUAUUUUCUUACAUUUUGCUUACUUAUAAACAAUAAUUUAAGACUGAUCGCGAUGUAUUUUUGAGUAAAAUUACGUUUACAUAAAUGAUCAUUCUUGACCUAUUUCAUUGACUAUAUUUGUUUGAAUUGUUUAAAACGAAAAAAAAAUUUGUUCUGUUCUUUUCUCAAUUGAUCCAUAUUCUGCAUACUUUAUAUCCGAAACCGACAAAAAACAGCCUAAAAUUAUUAGUUAUGGUACAGUGGAAACUCACUAAACCGGAUCUCCACAAAACCGGAAUCCUCGGGAUACUGGAAUUUUAUCAGAGUCCCGGUUUUCCCCUUCUAUUUUCAAUGUAAAAAAAUCCCUACAAAACCUGAACCCCGGAAUUCCGGAUACCGGACAAAAAAUCGAGAAAAUUUGUUAGUUGUCAACGUAAUUUUACCUUACAAAACCAGACGUUUUGUUCAAACAUGUCAAAAUAAUUCUGUGUAUUAGGAAUUCGCGAAUCACGUGUCAUUUUGUUUUGACAGCCGGUACGUCGUUAAAUAUUACACCUGUGAUGUUGUGUUAACACGAUAAUCGAUAAUGAUGAUUGCGCUGUGGAUUGACUGUCACGCGAUAAUCAAACGAUAAUCAAACUUGUGAAAAGAAAAUUGAUUAAAACAUUUAUUUGUUUGUUGCAGAAAAUAAAGAACUAGAAACGGUUUUUUAGUGAUCAUUUUGAAGUGUUGUUUUUAUCUAAAGACUUCUAUGAUUGAAUCAAAUUAGAGCGGUGCUUUAAUUAAACUAUCAAACAUACUAAACAAGCAUUAAAUUACGAGAGUUGUUUUAUUUCAAGACUUGGAAAAAAGAUGGUUAUAAAAACGCAGAAAUGUUUAAUUAUGCUUAUCACUUUUGCAAGUGCUUUAAUCAUGUCUCAACCACCGUCUAAACGUCGGAGAAUUGAACUGGAUAACUUAACAAGUGAAGUAAACUGUACUGAGCUUUUGAACAAACCUACAUACUUAUAAAUCAAAAUUGAUAUUUUAGGGUCUACACUGAAUAAACCCAAAAUGUUAGUUUUGAUUUGCUAAAUUCGAACAGUAUUUAGUCUAUCCACACAAAAUUUACAGGAUCAUCAGAUAACAAAUUUUCUAAAAAUUCUCUGUUUGCCAAAUAGGGAAGACAGGUUAAAGUGGGGUUAAAAGGUUGCUAUCUGUGACCAAAAAAAUACUGUUCAAAAUUGUGAGUAUUCAUUUAUCUUUCAUUCAGUAAAGAGCAUGCAAUGGCAUAGUGGUUGGAUUAGAUAAUCUGACAGCGGUGCUGGACGUCAGGAGUUCAAAUAUUGUUGUGAGUUCAAUGUUCCAAAAGAAUACCUUUGGAAUACACAAUUAUCUAUAAAAAUGGCAGAGCAAAUUGCCCAUAUUGUAGUAAUGUCUUAGAUCCAGCUUGGAUAACUUGGACACAGUAAGCGGUUCACACCAAGGGAAAUUCUCAGAUUAAACAGCGCUUAUGAACUUGAACAUUACAUUUUUCAUUGAGACAAAGAAAAAACAUUAUUGCUGAUCUUCUGAAAACAAAUCUUGGAUUUAUACUAAUCACCACCAAAAAUUUAAUUUUAAUCACACAAUGUAAACAACUGCGCCACAGAUCUAUCUUAUCUGUAUGUUUAGAGUUUUUAAAAUUUAGCAGUUAAAUAUAGAUUAGCAUACUGGUAGGUCUGGUUGGUCUGUUGCUUUAGAUGCUAAGUAAACAUAAUGUCAGUGAUUUCAUCACUAUUUCUAUUAAAAUAUCAGUUUUCUUCUUCAGAGCUUCUCACAUUUGCACCAUUUUUUACCAUUUGAAUCAUAAAAAGAUAACAAACAAACACGGAUGGAACAUUUGAAAAUACAAUUCAGUUGGUUUCUAUUUUCAUGCUAAUUUUUGCUUAAAAUUAUUCUGCUUGAAUGUGAUUUAUGUUGCUUAAUAAAUUUGAACUUAACUCUUUGUGAAUAUUUAAGGAAUGUAAGGGGUCAGAUUUCAGAUUGCUCAUUAUUUCUGGAACACUAAAUACUUUAUUUGAUUGUGUACACUGCACUUUCUUGUUAAGCAUUCAUCCAAAUCAUUUGGGUAAAUAUUGGCAGAAAAACUGCUUUUAGAUUUAUACUGGUCAUCAAAACCGGCACUGACAAAACAUAAGAUGUGUUUAAUUAAUGUGCGGGAAAGAGGUUUAAAGGUGUCCGCCCACAACGAAAUGCUUGCGGGUCACAGUACCCCUUCAAGUAGUUCUUGAAAAAAAAUGAUUCUCUCAGGUAGCGUUUGAUUAUUUGUACAUUGUAUCCUUGUAUAUAUUCUCAAGUGUACACAUGAUUUAUAUAAGGUUUGUACAAUUUUAGUUUUAUUUAAAUUUUAAAAUUUUGACAUUUUUUUUAAGAUUUGCCUGCCCUUGUCUAAACACUUAAAUUCUUGGUCUUUGGACUAUUGUCUGCAACUUCAAAACACACUUUUUGGAACAGGACACAUUUUUCUGAUAUUUUAUCCAGUUUGACUGCAAUAUAAGUUGUAUUUAUCAAUCAAGUAAAAAAUGACAUUUAUUUUUCCAUAAUUACCUGGUAGUUAUUUGUUAAUUUGUUUUAAUUCAUGGAUAGGUUUAUUGCAAGUGUCAUGGAAAGCUGGAACUUUUCAGUACACAACAUGCAAACAGAGAAUGAACUGUGUGUGCCGGCUUUGUGAACAAAAACGCAAGGCGGCUAUGAUACACUGUGUUUUGUGUGGAUAAGAAAUGCAGAGUGGUACCACCAAUCACCUAAGCCACCAUUCCCCUAACAGACAAUAGGCUCAAGGGGACAGUUCCUGCAAUUUACAGAAAAGCUCUCAAUUGUAGCCCUACGAACUUAAGAUACUGCUGAUGGUGAAGCUUGGAUGCACCGGGCCGGUUUUCCAGCCGUGUGGAAUCUCCAGCUGAACUGGGGCCGGGAAUUAUAUUUAUAAGACUCCUUAGCAGCAUGAGUGCCAGCCAGUCAUUGCUGUUCUUGCAUUGCUGAGGAGGACAGUCCUGCCAACAUAACAGUUUGUUCAAUAACAGGAGACAAACAGAAACACAGAGGUGCUAUACAUUCUGAUGGAAAAACAAAAGCAUCUCCCAUCAUUUUGGCGUGGCUCAGAUCAAGAGGAGAAUUUUAAGAAAGGUGAUGGUUGGGCACACACAAGAAGACAUAGAUCACAGGUGUCUAGCCAUAUGAGUAGAUAGGAGUGUCACACUCUGCCAAACUUACUUCAGAUAGGAGUGUCACACUCUGCCAAACUUACUUCAUCAGACGAGCAGAAAGCUUCUCAAGAUCCCGCACUGCACACUAAGACAUAGUCUUUGACUACAACAAGGUGAUGAAAGUACAGAGGUCCAAUUGAAAUCAAUUCUGUGCUGCUGUCAUUUCUUCAUUCUGGAAGUCGAUGGACAUGAUUUAUUAUGGCAUCAAGUGUGUAGUUUGCCGACUAUCAGCAGUCUUGUUCACCAGCUGUGCAACUUGAGCUGGUAGCUUUAUUGCUUGAAGCCACUGCAUAAGAGGGGGAAGGUGCAGGCUCAUCAAAAAGUCUCAAAAGUUGAAACUAGGAAAAGAAGUUUAUCAAGAGUGUGAAUCUAUUUUGAAAACAAUCGUUACAAUGAUUUGGUUUCCUUUGAAACUUCAUACAUACUAUGAAUUGAGAUGCUUAAAUAAAAAACCGCUAUUCAAAUAUCAGGAAACUGCCUUUUUCAUACUAAAGGGUAAAUGAUGUCGCCAUUUCCUGUAUGUAUUUAAAUAAGAUAUCUCUCCACAAUUAAUAUUUUUAGGGAAUUUUUCUCAACUGAAUGAGAUUAAAUUGUACAGCGUUAUAUGAGCUUAAUAUGUUUUCUCAUUCUUUAAAAUUGGUGAAAAAUUGUCAGAAGAUCAUUAGACCAGUAUCCAUUACUGCAAUCAUACAAUCAAAUAUACAGGGACAAGCCCACUGGGCAUAUAAUUAAACCCUGUUUAGGGGCACGAGGCAAACAGAGUUACUUUCAAACGUUAAAGCUGCACUCUCACACUUUGGAUGUUUUGACAACUUUUUUCAUUUUAUGUCUUGGAUUGGAACCAUCCAAUUUUUGCGAAAAAUUAAAUCCCAGAUUUUUCUAUUUAAGUUAAAACAUUGAUAUUUUUUAUGCACUUUUCUUAAACCGUUAGUAACAUUAAUUUUCGAACGGAAAUAUGAAAUCUGCGAUCUGAUCUUUUGUCAGCAAUCUUUUAUCAUUGGUUUGCAGAUAAUUACGCAAAAACUUGCUCAUUCGAAGACAAAAAAAUUUGUGGAAACGGUAUAUCUGUGAGAGUGCAGCUCUAAAUGUUUAAUUUCUUGAUUUUACUACUGUAUUAGAAAUUACAGGGAUUGGGGUAUAUUUUUAGUGUUUUUAUUGCUUGUUUUUGAUUCAUACAGUCAUACUUUAUUCUUCAGGGCACAACUUACAAAUAGACAAAACUGGACAAUGGUCAUAUCAAAAGGUCAAAGAUAAUGCAAGUUGAACAAUCAUAUUGUUCAUGGCUUGUAUUUUUGGUAUAUUUUGUUGCAUAUGCUAUAGAAAAGUUGAAUGUUAAAAAAUUCAUAGUUGAAAUGAUGGCUUUGAAUGAUAUUGUCAGAUGAGAAACGGCACUAUUAAGAAUUAGGUAUAAUGGUACUUUAUUUAUUUUAAUCAAUUUUAGAUAUUAUGAAAAUUAUUAUCUUAUUUAGUACAUGAGACCUUUUAAACAGUUAUUGACAAUAUAACAAUGUGUAUAUGAAGCUUUAGAUCAAAACUUAAAGCUGCACUCUUACAGAUUGUCAGUUUAGACACAAAAUUGUCUCAAAAUCGGCUGAUUUGGUUAUCAUUCCUUUAAUUCAGUCAUAUUAGAUAAUUCACAAUAGAACCAAUCAAAAAUGUUUGGUAAAACUGCCGAAAAAGUAAUUUACAUUAAAUUGUUUGUAAUGCUUUUAGUCAUUGUUCGUAAUGCUUUUAGUCAUAAAACAUCAUUUUUUUAACAUAAAUAUGAUGAACUGCAAUCUGAUCUUUUUUCAGCAGUCUUAUAUCACUUAAAAUUGGGUCUAGACAUUUCUGCAAAAAAUACUCCAUUUAUUGACAAACAAUAAAAGAGUACCGGUAGUCAAAACGAUCAAUCGGUGAGAUUGCAGCUUUAAAUACACCUUUUAAGACCGCCGUAAAAUUCCAAUGGUUUGCCUAAAUCUUUAAAGCUAGCAUACUGUUUAAUUGACAACCAUACUUAUUGUUUAAAAUAUGUCAUGAUAUCUUUGUACAAUGUGUUUAUAUAAUUCAUUAAAGAAGUCAAAACAAA